CUUGUGAUCAAUGUCAGCCCAAUGGAUGCCCAGGACAGUGCAACAGUUGUUCUGCAAGAGUAUUUUGAGGACAGCCUUAUUAAUUUGUACCAGCAGAAACGGAAGUGACAUGGGAUGCAAAUGAUAGCUAUUCCUCUUUCUUCAGAGAUGAGGUGUGCAAGCAACCAGGAGCCAUUGUGCGCACAGCAGCAACUCACACGUAUUUCAGGAUGAUCAGUUCUGUAAGCUUCGCUACCUUGCCUGAGAUGAGUGGAAGGGAGCCUGAGACUGAUUUCUCCCCCAAAAGGAUGCCAGCUCUAAAGGGUGGAGCUGGGAGAAGCUGAAGCUGUUUGGCACACAGUUCUGGAUGAAGAGUCCCACUCUGGCUUCCCUAUCGGUAGUGGAAGGUUGCUAUGAGGUCUCCUUAAAACCUUCUCUGAGCUUAAGAGUCCCAACUUUCUCAUCCUGUUUUCAUCGAGGAGGUAGGCGCUUCAGUCCUCUUAUCAAUCCCAUGGCCCUCCUCAGGAUCUGUAGGAGUGACAUUUUAAGCAGUGAGCUUCGGAAGGGGAUUUUCCUCCUGUUGUCCAUGUACGAAAUAAAGCAAACGGAGCCCUUUGUGGUAUCCCUCUGAAGGAGCAAGGCAAUUGUAUGCCCGCCCCCGUUUUGGACUUGGCUUUGGAUUUAGGCCUCUCGGAACCGAGGAACACAGCGCAGGCAGGCAGCCAUGACCUCAUCCCGACUGGGCUGCCGCUCUGUGCCAGCGGCCCCGUGUCCC